UGCCGCAUGAGGUGACGGUAUUGCGGGCUCGUGGGCCUUUGAUGUAGCACUGGUACCCUCUGAUGUUGCGAACCCAUAAUAUUUAUUUUCAUACUAUACAUGGGCAAUACAGUAGUCAACCUCGACCAUACGUUUUUUUUAGCGGUAACUCAACCGCAUGUAGAACGGUAGAAGUCCCUUCCUUUUCAUGAGAGAUGCUGUGUGAAAGCCGUCCAGCAGAACCCACUUACAAGAUGAUUCGCCAAAAAAGAAUGCCGUCUUGGCCUCUCACGUCUCCUCUUCAAGAAAAGUUUAGGGUUCGUCCACCUACCGCCAUCGCUGUUGUCGGUCCGCCUCGGUGGCCUUAGGGCUAUCGGGCGCGGUGGAUCCCGGUCCUAGCCGACGGGAGGGUUGUGUAUUUAGAUGUUUCUUCGUGUUUUGUUAGGGUUUGUGUCAUGCGCAGGAAGAUGAGGCUGUGGCGACUCCUGAAGAUGGAAUAAAGUUUUUCCCGCCCAGCGUUCGUCCCGAUGGUAUGUUUUGCAUCGUCGGUGGGCACGUGGAUGUGUGUCUCUGGCGGAUCUGUCUUCGGUGGAUUUGGUCGGAUCUGGUCGUUGUUUGUCUACGUUUGUGUGUCUUCAGAUUGGAUCAUUUCGAUCUACGCUACUCCUUAUCAGCGACGGUUGCUGUUCUGGUGCGCUGGUUCUAUGGGGUCUUAGCACGACGACUUCCAGACUGUCUACUACAACAAGUUUUUCCCCGGCUCCGGUGAGGGAGGGGCGAUGACGGCGGCACGCCUUCGGCUCGCUCCAAUGCUUGUAGUCGCCGCUAGGUGGUCUACGGAUCUGAAUGUAAUUAUUAUUAUUUCUGGUAUUCGUUGUACUGUCAUGAUUAAAUAUGAAUAGAUUGGAAGUUUUCACCCCAAAAAAUGAGAUGUUGUGAUUUGGGGGACUCCCUAUGCAACGCUCUAUGUGGCAAAUACACACCCUUUUGCACAGUGCUCACCCAAAUGGGCUGGCCCAUUCACGACGCGGGCGGUAGACUGUACCGAGCAAGCGGCGUGAUUUUGUUUGGAUGACGGAGACAGUACUGUCCCGAACCGGAGAAAGCACUGUAGUGAACCCAAGAAACAUGUACCACCUCUUUUUGGUCAGUUUUAAAAAACAUUGUAAUGAAAUUUUGGAAACCUGAACAUUUCUAGGAAAUACGAACAGAUUUUUAAAAGAAUCGAACACUUAUUGUACAGGCGAAAAUGUUUUGAAAAGAUGAACAGUUUUCAGAUUACAAACAGUUUUUAAAAAAGUGAACAUUUUUUGAAACACAAAAAAUUCUUGAAAAUUUAAACAUUUUCUGAAAAUUUUACCCAAACAGAAGACUGUCGACUGUAAAACAAAAUAUUUCAGGGACGAGCGUCCUUUAGAAAAUUCUGUGACUUAGCUUGGUCCAUAAUGUUGAUAACCCCUCUGCUCGUAUGAAACCUGGUACAAUUCGAUUCAACCCAGCCUAUUCAAUUACUUCAGCUUAUUUUGUAAUGUCUUCUUAAUUCAAUUUGUGUUCUAAAACAGGCCCAUUUUUUGUUAUCGGUUCAUGCAUUAUACUCUGUAUUAAAUUGGUAAUAUUAAAGAUAAGUGGGCCACACAAACCCCACAAGAGAUAUUCCUCCCUCAAACAGGGUGCUUCACCCACGAUGGAAAAAAACCUCAGGGUCACCCCUGGGCAAGGUUAGUGAAAAACAUAAUGUCUGAAGCAACUUCCAACAUGAAUCAGAGUUGUCUUCCCAUGAGUUUUCUUGGAAUCUCAAAAUUCCAAAAUUACAAAAACUAGAACUUUCAACUACCAAAAAUUACAAAAAAAAGGGAGUUGCAAGUUUCAGAAAAUAUAAAAUUUGGAGCUUUCAACUUUCAGACUAAAAAAAACUUUAUAUAGGCCACGAAUAUUCCUGGACAUUCAACAUAAAACGCAUGUUUCAGAUAAUUCCUUGCAUCUUUGAACAAAAAAUAUAGCACUUCUCAACAUUUUUAUGACAUUCAAUAAUAUUAAGUACAUAAACUUCUUCCAACUAGUAAAAAAAGAGACAAAAAAAAGAAAUGUCAACACCCAGCUCCAGGAUAUGGUCGCACCCACCUAAUGUCCACUCAUAUCUGCCAGAGGCCUGCUCACUGUCACCUUGAUCAAGUGAAGACAGUCUCAAAUUGGUCUCUGCUGCAAAUCUCCUUGUUGGCGCUGACAGCAAAACUCUUCUUUACAAUUGGACGACGUUAGGGGAGAAUGGUGGUUCAUCAGCUCAUCGGAAAUGCUAUUUCUUCAUUUUUUAUAUUCAAGAGAUAACAAACCUUUUUGUGAGUCCUAGUAAAUGGUAUGCGCAAUGCAUGUUGAUAUUAGGGAGAAAAAUAAUUAUACGUCAAUAUUAGUUAGGAUAUCAAUUAUGCAUUAAUUAUAUGGAUAGUGUAUAUGUUGAUAUAGGAUAUGAUAUUAACUGCAAGCUUAACAUGUUGAGCGCUCACCAUUGGAGCAAUAUAGGUCGUUGGAUUGACACGAUUUGAUGGCCAAAAUUUGUUGGAUCUGCCCCUUUGGUCCCGUUAUAUUGGUAUAUAGGUAUAUAGAUAAUUAGAUAUAGAUAUAAACUUAAAAGAUAAUAAACUACUCCCUCCAUAAGAUCAUUUUGCAAGCUGAAUCAGCUCCAAAACAGCUUGCAAAACGAUCUUAUAUUAUAGGACAGAGUAGUAGAAAACAAUCUAGGCAUGCAUUACCAUUUAUUAUUGUAAAAGAGAUGUACAAUAACACAUUCCUAGUAUUAUAUAAAUAGACACUCAAGAUGUAUGCCGCAUGAGGUGGUUAUCUCUGGGAAGUAGGGGCCAGGGAUGUAGCGCCGGUACAUCGGAUCCUGCCGGUACUUGCAGAUGCACACCUCCUCCGCUCGGAGGUUCGAGCAGCACAAUGUCGUAGGAGCCUUGCCGUCUCUGAUGGCUGGAUCGCAAGCCAGGAGCAACUGCGGUCUGCACUCCAACUCCGCCACCACCGCGCUCAGCGGCACCACCACUAUGAAUACCGCGCACAUAAUCACCGCUGCCGGUCUAGCCAUGAUCUUGGAUGUCUGCGACUUAUCUAAACACAGUGUCCUCAAGUUGGUGUGGUGCAAGGUAAGCCAAGCACACCACUUGUAUAUAUGGGCGCUGCUACGUCCGCCUGUACGGCCGUUUGAUCUUUCCCUGGCAGCCGUUGGAUUCGUAGCGAAGAAACAACAAGAGUCACUGCGGAAGCAGAGCUCCGCACGGCUUCGCAAGCAGGAGCCGCACCCCCCUCACUUCGCAAGCAGGAGCCGCACCCCCCUCAACGGCGGUCGGCGGAGCUGGGUGUUCAGCAGCAACGGCGGCACGGUGAUGCGCCAUUGCAGCGCCAAAACCGGCGCGAUGGUGCUCCAACGCAGCUCCGGCGACCCGUAGCAACUCCGGCCAUGCGCCAUUGCAGCGCCAAAACCGGCGCGGGGGUGCUCCAACGCAGCUCCUGCGACCCGUAGCAACUCCGGCCAUGUGCCAUUGCAGCGCCAACACCGGCACAUGGUGCUCCAACGCAGCGCCGGCGGCCCGUCGCUGCUCCGACCCCUGCUUCAUUGCAGCCGCAACACCGGCACACGGUGCUCCAACGCAACCCCGGCGGCCAUCGGCGAAGCUCCAUUGCAGCACCGGUGCCCCCCGGCAAAGCUCCAUUGGCGGUGACGGGUGUUGUGACGUAGCGCGUGGCGACGACGGCGAAAGCUGAGAUGCAGCGCCCACGGCCAUGACCGAUGCAGCGUUGCCGGCGAUGGUGCUUUGAUGCAGCGCGGCGGCCAUGGCGGAAGCUCCCCGACGCAGUGGUCGGCAUACGCGUCACAAGGCGUCUUUCACGCCUGAAAUUACUAUGCAGCCAUUAAUACCUGCCAUUUUUACCCUGAGAUUUACGGCAAUCCCGAUCGAUCCAAUUCAUCUCGAUCGCCAAAAUCGCUCGCUCAAUUAAAAUGGGUCAUUAAAAAGAUGGCUGGAUUGUAAGGUAAGCCAAACACACCACUUGCCCCGGAGCCAUUACUACUGCACCGUUUUUUACCCUGAGAUUUGUACAGCAAUCCCCUCGUUCUAAUUAAUCUCGCCAAAAUCGUUCGCCCUAAUGAAAUUACGUCAUUGCGUCAAUAAUAAAAUCGCUGGUGGACAUGUGGCCCCAACAGGAGUCCAUCACGGCAACAAAAUGGAGCUAAUCCACAAGUCUUCAAUUUUGACUAACUAACAGUUGGAACCUUUAUGUUGGAUAAACUUGUCAGGUGGAAUGCUACAGAGAAGGGCGUGGUUGGGUGAAUACAGCGCUCAAGUCAAUCGGCAGGAGAAGCCAUUGUUCUGCCAUUGUCUACUGAAUUGGUUGCAGAUGCUUUACAGUGGCCCAGCAAGUCUACUUGCUAGUAAUGCAUCAGAAAGUUUCCUAUAUGUACUGAAAACUGGAGUGAGCUCAAUUUUGCAAAAGCCCUCUUCUUCUGUAAGGGAGGAAACUCUAGUCCCCCUUAUCCAAUUUCAGAGCCCAGUCCGAGCUCCUAUCUUAUCUGAAACAAAAGCAAGAAAGCGGCAGCGCAUGGUGAACACCAAAAGUAUUUUGCUCUAGAAUUUUCCCUAGCUUAGGGUUUUCUACCUAACAGUAUCUUCCUAUGAUUACCUUGGUUAUCCGAGAACCUUUUUCUCAAAAUAAAGAGCUAGGACAAGCUUUCAAUAUGGCCAAGGGAGAUAUUUGGAACACAGUUUAAUUAAGCGCUAUAUGAAGAAUAAGUGUAACAGCGUCUCAGUUCUUGUAUUUGAUUGGCUUCUCUGAUUUCAUUUCAUAAGUGUCAAACACAAGUUUUCCUUCUCUUUCAUUUCUACUUACAGAGAUAAAACACAUGAGUUACACUGAAUUUGAAUUGCGCCUGGUUUAAAAAAAAACUUCUUUGCUGAUUUCAUAAGAGCGCAAAACAUAAUUCAUUUAUGAAAAACAUUUCAAUUAUAUGUCUGGCUUAAGUUUUUUUAUAAUUUCAGAAAUUCAUAGGCAGACUGUUUUGGGCAAGUUUCACAAAGAAAAAGAUAACUGAGGCUACUCCAACACCGACAAAGGAGCUGACUUUGAAAACUGGGCGCCGCUGAUCAUUCUUCAUAGUCGUCUACACUUAAUAUGGUUGACCACACAACUCGCACCGAGACCAACGCUCCAUUGCUAAACCGAUACAUUUGCUCCUCUUCGUCAUGCUUGGACGCCACAAACGAAAGCGCGUCUUGGCCCUCCUCCAUGAAGUCUAUCCGCAGCGUGUCCCCUAGAUUCACGGCUGCAACGAAUUUUUGAAUGUGCUUCCCGCUGGAUGGUAUAAAACCCACUGUGUCACGGCAGUGCUCAUCAAUGAAGGAGUAGGAGCCUUGGGAAAGGACAGUGUUGCCACGCAUGCGCACAAGAAAGCCAUCUGCAGGCACCUCCACAAAAUCCAGGUCUAUAGUAGCCUCCAUGCCUCUAGGAACAACACAUGUUUCCAGUGUAAUCUUGCCGUUGAUAUCAUCGACAUGGUUCAGUCUCCACGGGUCAAACUGUUCACAUGCUUUCAGGCAACCGGAGACAAUACUUAAGUCUUCAUCAACCACCUUGGCCUUCGCCUUUAUAUCAAUUUCGAUCAAGCAGCAUGUUGCGAGUAUUCCUCUUGCAGGAUUCCUCAGGCAUAAAUAGCCACCUUUCUAAAAUGUAGGGAAGAGACUUAAUAUUGAAUAUUCUCCAUAAAUAACAUCAAUGAUGUAUAGGAAAGAAGGAAGGAUUACGUACUGGGUCAAUUGCUUGUGCAUUCUCUCUAGAGCAAUGGAAAAUGUAGUUGCGCGAGAAAUCCAGGUGAUCCCUUACUGCGAUCACGCCAUAGACCUCGAUAUUAUUUGAUUGUACCAUAUUGUCACGCAUAAACUUGACAAAACAGUAAGAUUUCGUAUACAGCUCGACCAUGACAUCAAGGAACUGUAGCAUAGGGACAGGGUUGUGUGGGCAUCUGUCAUCACCACCAAAUUCACAUGAAGCGUAUCUCAUCGGACCCGGCCGAGCUGAAUAAAUCAAGUAGUUUGGGUCAUACUACCACUUGUAUCAUCAUCAUCAUCAUCAUCAUCAGAUUGGAGAAGAAAGAAGAACGCUAGUAUUGAUUGGUAAAAAGAUUUGGUUGUGCAACAUAAAAUUAGCUUACCUGGUGAGGGUCGGUGUAGGAGGUGUAGCUGGUGGUAUCGAGUCCACAGAAAAGCCUUUGAUUUCUGUAUCCCUGGACAAUGUUUGUUCGGAGAUAUGGUGGUUCGGCCGCCGGGUGUCCACGGUCUGCGCUGUCGUCGUCUUGCUGUCCUCAUCGUCAUCUGCGCAUUCGUCGGCGUAAUGCCGCCCUUGCAGCACCGCCUCCCAGUCCUCUCGCUCCGCCUCCUGGUGAUGUCUGUCCGCGAAAUCCAGUACCUCAGCGACGGCAACGGCAUCGGUGAAUACGCUGCAGGGCCCGCGGGCGCCGGCGAUGAGUUGAUGCAUGCGGCGUUCCUCUUGGGUGGGCUCUGGUACCUCCCGGCACGAGAUGUCGACGAUCCGGCGCCGCGUGUCCUGAGUCAUGCUGGCCCACGCCUCGUCCGAGAACAUGUGGUCGAACUCGGGCGGCCGACGCAGCUCAUCCAUUGACGGCGACGGCGGCGGCAUUCGAGGUUGGGGAUUGGGGGGAUUAGGGGUUCGGUCGACCCCUGUCUCACUCUCGCGAGGGCUCUACUGAUAUCGAGCUGGGCUCACCAGGCCAGAUCCCAGCGUGAGUAGACUUGGGCCAGAAUCAGCCUCUGUUUGGACCGUUUCUUAUUGGGCUAAAGUUCUUACUCUAAUUUAUAUUGGGCUGAAAAUAGAAAACAUUAAAAACGAAUAGGAAAAAAUCCGAAAGGAAAUCGAUAAAGAAAAAACACAGAAAAAUAGGAAAUNNNNNNNNNNNNNNNNNNNNNNNNNNNNNNNNNNNNNNNNNNNNNNNNNNNNNNNNNNNNNNNNNNNNNNNNNNNNNNNNNNNNNNNNNNNNNNNNNNNNNNNNNNNNNNNNNNNNNNNNNNNNNNNNNNNNNNNNNNNNNNNNNNNNNNNNNNNNNNNNNNNNNNNNNNNNNNNNNNNNNNNNNNNNNNNNNNNNNNNNNNNNNNNNNNNNNNNNNNNNNNNNNNNNNNNNNNNNNNNNNNNNNNNNNNNNNNNNNNNNNNNNNNNNNNNNNNNNNNNNNNNNNNNNNNNNNNNNNNNNNNNNNNNNNNNNNNNNNNNNNNNNNNNNNNNNNNNUGUGGCUCACCGUGCGAACUAUGUAGACAAGAGUUGCUACGAUCUCAUAAUGAGCGAGAUUUAGCAUUUCCAGCGAUAAAGCAACAUAGAGUAGCAGAUCGCUCGCUGGCAAUUAUGUUGUGCCAAGGGCCCGAGGCCCACUAAGGGGUGCUUGUGUACUCUCCUUGCGACCUCGUCAUAUAGGGAAGGUCGAGCAACUUGUUUUUGGGAGGAUACAUGACUUGAGGACACCCCUCUAGCUUUUCAGUACCUUUCUCUUUAUAAUAUUAUUCAGUGCAAAGAAAAUUACGUUGCACCAUUCUAGGGGCCAAAUUCUGUUGAAUAUCCAGUUUAGAAAAACUCUGAUAAAUGAUAAGUGGUUUGUGUGGGUACAUUAUUUAGUACGAAGGUCGAUGUGUAACACCCUUACCAAUGCACCAGACACAUCUUACAUCUUACAUUCUUAAGAAGUUGAUACCAGGUCUCUCAACAUGCACCUUUUUUCAAGAAAAAGGUUCACAGAUUUGAAAAAAAGUUCAUCGAUUUGGAAAAAGUUCAUGGAUUUUUUUAAGUUCAGAUAUAACAAAAGUUCAUAAAUUAAAAAAACAAAAUCAAAAAAAAGUUCAUGGAUUUUCCAGAAAAAAGGUCCAUGAAUUUGAAAAUUUUCAUCGAAUUUGAAUAAACAUUUAUCAAAUUUCCAUAAAAAGUUCCUCGAUUUUAAGAAAAAGUCCAAAAAAUUUGAGAACUAGGAAGAAGGUAAAAGAAAAAAGGGAAAAGGAAAAAAAUAAGAUAGAAGAAAAGAUGGAAAAAUAUGUAAGUGAUCACUUCAGGUUAGGUGGCGGGGUGGUUAUUGCAGCGUUCUUGAUGCAUGAGGUCGCUGGUUCAAUUCGCUCCACAAGCACACUAUUUCCGAGUUAAAAAACGUAAAAUAAGAUAAAUAAAAGGUAGAUGGGUCAGCCCGGCGUGAAGUGGGGAUGUGCUCCCGUUUGCAGAGCGCCAAAUAGGAAAUGCCCCAAAACUGGGUGGAUGGUUAGCCAAUCCCCACCAUAAGUAAAACCGCCCGCGCACAGCUUAUUGGGCUGGCCCACCAUGUGAAUUAUGUAGACAAAAUUUGCGGUGAUAAAACAACAUAUAGUAGCAGAUCGCUCGCUGGCAGACCCGAGGCCCAUCAAUUGGCACUUGUGGACUCUCCAUGCUUGUCUUAGGACUAGGACGAAAGCUCGUCCUUACGGCCUCGUCAUAUUGAGGAUGGUCGAGCAACUCGUUUUUGGGAGGAUACAUGGCUUGGGACACGCCUCUAGUUUUUUAGUGCCCUUCUUUUUAUAAUAUUAUUUCAGUGUAAAGAAGAUUACAUCGCACUGUUUUGGGGGUCAAAUCUAUUGAAUAUCCAAUUCAGAAAAACUUUGAUAAAGGAUAAGUGGUUUGUGUGGGUACAUUAUUUAGUAGUACGAAGGUUGAUGCUUAACACCCUUACUAAUGUAUCGGACACAUUUUACAUCUUACAUUCUUAAGAACUCUAAUACCAAUUCUUUCAACAUGCACAUCGUCCACAUCAAUUUCAUGCCAUGUCAGCGUUCACAUGAGUCUAAAUCUUAACAUGCAUGAUGCCAUGUCAUCUUGCCAAUACCAGCGUACAAAACAGGCCGAGGACCGCUGCCAUCCCACACUCUUUCAAUGCGCGUGCAUGGUUUAAUCGACAGCCCAAGCAGUUUCACAACUACACCGCACGGUUGACUACAACACAGGCAGUACAUGCCAUCUAGCUUCUUUUUCUAACUAGAAAAGAGGAGAGGAACUAGUUAGCGGGUACUCCUUCGGGAGCCCCCACAAGGAUCACUUUGGCAGCGCGCAAGUGACGCGCUGUUAGGCGGCGUCACGUGUCGCGCUGCUACUUGUGAACUGCGUUGGGAUUUCCCCGAAGAAAAGAGGAUGAUGCAAUACACUAGAGAUAAAUAUUUCCCUCAAUUAAGAACCAAAGUUAUCAAUCUAGUAGGAGAACACAGCAACAACUCGUUAGUAGGGAGUUGACGGGACGGGAGGCGAAGGAGCACGAGGGAGCUUCGCGGGAGAAGCACAUCGGCGGAAAAAGAGCUCAACGAGGAUCCCGGAUCUGGUCGAGCUUGACGCAGGGACGACCAGAGGAGAGAGAUCAGGGCGGUGCCAUUGCGAGUUCGCCCGCGGUAAGCGCGUUCGCGAGAGCCAUCCCGGUACACAUCUAUUUUUGCCUCGCUAAGCUCCCUUUGUUUAAUGGUUUAGCAACUAAAUAUUUUAUGGAUUGGUGAGCUUGCCUAACUUAUUUUACCUAGGUUCGUGUGCUUAGUAUUGUUUCUUAUUUCUUUGAACACAGUACGGGCGCAAGAACUCAUAUAUACGAGUAUUUUCUUUUAUUGGCAUCAAACUCAUCUCUGUUCUCUUAAUUACCUUGUCACAUCAAUUUUUUUUGCCAUCAUGACUGAAAACGGAUCAACUAGCUAUGCAUGUGUCUGUAGGGGACCACACGUAACAAAGCAGGCAAGCCUGAGCGGCUGAGCACGCUGUGCACCCGAUAAACAAGAUGCUGCAGGCGGCCGACAAGCGCACUACAAUCAGUCGGCUGAAUCGUACCCUUUCCCAAAAGUAUCACCAAACAGGGGCCUAUAUCACCGGCAGUAGCCCGUUCACUUCGAUUUUGUGAAACAACAGCGAUGAGGCCAUCUACCGCUGCUCACAUUCUCACGGCCGCCGUCCUCUUGCUGGGCGGCGCGGGCGCGACCCCGGAGACGACGUGCAGCGCGGCGGCGGGCGCCGACAGGCGCGUGGACUACCACUUCUGCGUGUCAAGGCUGAGCCAGCACCACGACAGCCCCGACGCCGACACGUGGGGCCUGGCCAAGGUGGCCGCCGACGUAGGCGUCCUCCUCGCCGGCAACGGCGUCUACGACAUUAAGCACAUGCUCGCCAAGAAAGCGGCUGGGGGCAAGGUGCGUGCGCCGCUGGAGCGGUGCGAGGCGCUCUACGGCAGGAUGGGGUCCGCGUUCGCAGAGGCCUACGACGGGAUCGACAGGCGCGACUACGCGGCGGGGAAAGACAAGGCGCGCGAGGCCGCGCCUCUCAUGCGCCGGUGCGGCGAGGCCUUUGCCAGGGCCGGCGUCGUCCCGUCGCCGCUGGCGAGGCAGAGCGCGGACGCGGUGCAGAUGGCCAUCGUCUGCACAGCCAUCACCGGCCUCAUCCAGUGAACGAGCGAGCGGUGUUUCCUGUAUAAUGCUGCUUGCUCGGUCGACCGUCGUGUCAUGCACACAUGCACCUACACCUACGCUUGCAUGUGCGUCAGGCUGAUCGUUGAUACUAAAACGUUCUUCAGUGAUGUAGCGAUCGUUGAUAAUAAAAUGCUUUUGUAUCUCUUUCAUCUAAUUAAUGGAGUCGUUUGUUUCAUGAAAUCUCAACUUAAAGACAAUUCGGGCGCCAGAUGCCACGUACUAGUAGGAGUUAUGGAUAGAGAGGGGAACCGGGUGCGUGAAGGGUGUUGGCUGCUCACAACGGACUUACCAUAUACUCCCUCCGUCCCCAAAAAACUUGGUGCUCAAUUGUAUAUAUCUAGUACAGUACAAUAUUAGUAUUAUACAUAUAUAUGAUACUAGUGUAUGAUACUAUCUUCACAAGGCAUAAUAUUAUAGAUUGGUAUCAUGGUGACCUUAUUAUUGUCAUGCAUGAUACUCCCUCUGUCCAAAAAUACUUAUGGGUGAAAUGUAUAAAAAUAAAUAUAUCUAAACUAAAAUACGUCUAGAUACACCAAUCUCUCCGACAAGUAUAACAUCAUUUAAUAUGAUACAAUGUCAAAGAAAUAGGAUGAUACUAGUAUAGUGCUAGAUAUAUACCAUUUAAUAUGUAUCUGGCGGCCUGUCUCUCAAGUUGCUUAUAGAAAUAUGAUGUGUGUGUGCAUGUGUUCAUAGGGUUAGAGUAUGUACCUAAGCGUCUAUGUCUAUCUACACUCUGGCAAGGACAACCACACGUAAAAUGCAAGGAAGACACAUUACUGUGGCAUGGCACGUCCGGAUGCAGAAAAUAUCACGAUGCAUGACUAAUCACAGGAAAAGUGCUGUAGAAUAACUAGACCUAAUGACCUGCCUAGUGGACAUUUCACUAGGGUACCCAUCCAUCAAUCAAGGAAGAAAGAAUGGUAGGAUAGACAUUACGGCAAGCAAAGGAAAGCCCUUUUCUUGCCAGCGUCAAUAUCCGCGAGGGAAAGCUACGGCCAGAAUAUCGCAAGAUGCUUUUUAUUAUUGUAUGUAUCUAAAGAUCUCUUCUUUUUAAAUAUUAGAAUGAUACCUAUAGCCCAUUGGCAGCGUGAUGUAGUGUGAUGUGAUGGAGUUUGUUCUUAUCGGAUUGAUGAUUAACCAGUCCUAGAGAUUUACAUUGACAUGGCGAUUGUGAAUUCUCUUUCGUUAGUUCCAUACUGAUGAAAAAUAUCUGCUUACCAGGUGGAUAUAUGUGUUUGAAAUUAAUCAAAUUGUUUGAUUACCAGCAGGAUAUGGAAAUUAACCAGACUCUUUGUGAAUACAAUAAUUCUGCUAUUUUAAAAAAAAUCAGGACAUGAGCUCAAAAUCAGUGUGCACGAUCAUCUGUAAUGGGGUAGUGAAGGCAAAUUAGAUGAAACUGUUUCUGUUAUGGUGAUUGGAGAGUUACGGCAUGUACUUUCUGGUAACUCCCUUUUGAUUAUUUUCUACCGUUGAUUUUAACCUGGUAAUUAAAAAAUUAAGUUUAAUCAACAAGGGUAUUAUGGUCAUGUGUGAUUGUUGUUUUAGUACUCCUAACUCUGUCGAUAAUCUGGCCCGCAAAAAAAAAAUCUGUCAAUAAUCCCCGCAUCUGCCUAAGAGCAUCUUCACUCGUUAGGCCCCCAGGGGCUAGAAAUAGCGCAGCCCUGGGGGCGCGCCGGCUGAAAUAUCGGCUUGGGGGCGAUCUGGUUCCCAGCGGCUGCCCCCAUGCGCCGAUUUUGGCCCACUUUCGGCGCAAAUUGGCCCAUUUUUUGAGCCCAUUUUCAGUGCAAAUUGGCCCACUAUCGGCGCAAAUUGACCAAUUUUGGCCCGAUUCGGCAUACUUCGGCACAAUUUCAACAUAAAGCUAUUUAUAUCACAUAGUUCAUCACCGAAAAUCAAUAGAAAUCAAAUAGUUCAACAAAUAGUUCAAUACAAAUUAUAUAGUUCAACAAAUAAAAACUCAUAUUUCAUCACACGUCGAGCGAGGUGUUGCCCUUGAUCAGCCUCCAUAGGUGCUCCACCAGAUCCUGCUGCAGUUGUUGAUGCGCCAAUUGGUCUCGGAUCUCCUGACGCAUAUUGAGGAAGGCAGUCCAGGUUGCCAGUAGGUGGUGAUCAACUUGGGCUAGAGGACCCUGCCUGUAUGGUUCAGUAUCAAAAACUGGCUCUUCCUGCUCGGUCUCAAUGAUCAUGUUGUGCAAGAUGACACAACAAGUCAUGAUCUCCCACAUUUGAUCUUUCGACCAGGUCUGAGCGGGGUACCGGACAAUAGCAAAUCGAGAUUGGAGUGUUAGCUAGGAAACGUAGCAUGUAAUUUUAAAAGAUUUCCUAUGCUCACGCAAGAUCUAUCUAGGAGAUGCGUAGCAACGAGGGGAAAAGUGUGUCUACGUACCCUCGUAGACCGAAAGCGGAAGCGUUUUGACAACGCGAUUGAUGUAGUCAAACUUAAUUAUUCUAGAUCCGAUCGAUCAAGCACCGAACAUACGACACCUCCGAGUUCUGCACACAUUCAGCUCGAUGAUGUCCCUCGUCCUCUUGAUCCAGCAAGAUGUCCAGAAAGUAGAUGAGUUUCGUCAGCACGACGGCAUGGUGACUGUGAUGGUGAAGUGAUCCAUGCAGGGCUUUGCCUAAGCACUGCGAGAAUAUGACCGGGGGUGUAAACUAUGGAGGAGGGCGCCGCACACGGCUAACAAUUGAUCUUGUGUGUUCUAGGCGCCCCCUCCUCAUAUAUAUAGGUGGGAGGGAGAGGGAAGAGGCCAAGGGGCGCCCCAAGUGGGGCCGAAUCCCACUUGGGCUCCUGCCCUGGUUCGCCCCCCUUCCUUGUAUAGGCGCCAGGGGAAGGAAGGGGGAGGUGCCCCCCCUUUCCUUUCUCCCUUGAGGAGGGGAAGUAAGGAGGGACUUGCCCUCCCCCCUUUCCUUUCCCUAGGGCCGGCCGGCCUAGUGGAGGGGCGCACCAGCCCCUUGUGGGCUAGUCUGUCCCUCCCUUGGCCCAUUAAGACCAUAUCUUUGCCGGGGGUGCCCGGAACCCCUUCCUGUGACCCUAUAUGUACCCGGUACCCUCCGGAACACUUCCGGUGUCCGAAUACCAUCGUCCUAUAGAUCAAUUUUUACCUCUCGACCAUUUCGAGACUCCUCGUCAUGUCCGUGAUCUCAUCCGAGACUCCGAACAACAUUCGGUCACCAAAUCACAUAAAUCAUAUAAUACUAAAUCCUCAUCGAACGUUAAGCGUGCGGACCCUACGGGUUCGAGAACUAUGUAGACAUGACCGAGACACCUCUCCGGUCAAUAACCAAUAGCGGAACCUGGAUGCUCAUAUUGGCUCCUACAUAUUCUACGAAGAUCUUUAUCGGUCGAACCGUUAUGACAACAUACGUUAUUCCCUUUGUCCAUCGGUAUGUUACUUGCCCGAGAUUCGAUCAUCGGUAUCCACAUACCUAGUUCAAUCUCGUUACCGGCAAGUCUCUUUACUCAUUCCGUAAUACAUCAUCAUGUAACUAACUCAUUAGUUACUUUGCUUGCAAGGCUUCUCAUGAUGUGUAUUACCGAGAGGGCCCAGAGAUACCUCUCUGAUACUCAGAGUGACAAAUCCUAAUCUCGAUCUAUGCCAACCCAACAAACACCUUCGGAGAUACCUGUAGAGCGUCUUUAUAAUCACCCAGUUACGUUGUGACGUUUGUAGCACACAAGGUAUUCCUCGGGUAUCCGGGAGUUGCAUAAUCUCAUAGUCGAAGGAAUAUGUAUUUGACAUGAAGAAAGCAAUAGCAAUAAAACUGAACAAUCAAUAUGCUAAGCUAACAGAUGGGUCUUGUCUAUCAUAUGAUUCUCCUAAUGAUGUGAUCCCAUUCAUCAAAUGACAACACAUGUCUAUGGUUAGGAAACUUAACCAUCUUUGAUUAACGAGCUAGUCUAGUAGAGGCUUACUAGGGACACAGUGCUUUGUCUAUGUAUCCACACAUGCAUCAAGUUUCUGGUUAAUACAAUUCUAGCAUGAAUAAUAAACAUUUAUCAUGAUAUAAGAAAAUAUAAAAUAACAACUUUAUUAUUGCCUCUAGGGUAUAUUUCCUUCAUGGAGCACACCAAAUGCCCGCUCGAUAUCCUUCCUGCAAGCCUCCUGAACCUUCGCAAAGUGGGAGUUCUUGCCUCCUGGCACAGGGUUUGAGAUAGUCUUCACAAAUGUGGACCAUCUCGGAUAGAUGCCAUCUGCUAGGUAGUAUCCCUUAUUGUAGUGCUGCCCAUUGACCUCGAAGUUCACCGGAGGAGAAUGACCUUCAACAAGCUUGGCAAAGACAGUGGAGCACUGCAGUACGUUGAUGUCAUUGUGAGUUACUAGCAUACCAAAGAAGGAGUGCCAAAUUCAUAGGUCGUGUGUGGCCACUGCCUCAAGUACCACACUGCAACCGCUUUUGGCGCCUUUGUACAUUCCCUGCCAAGCAAAUGGAUAGUUUUUUCAUUUCCAAUGCAUGCAGUCGAUGCUUCCAAGCAUCCCUGGAAAUCCUCUAGCUGCAUUUUGUGCUAGGAUCCGACCAGUGACUUCAGCAUUGGGUGAUCGCAAGUAUUGCGGUCCAAACACUACCACCACUGCCCUGCAGAACUUGUAGAAACACUCAAUGGUCAUGAACUCGGCCGUGCGCCCAUAGUCUUCCCGUGAAUCACCGGGAGCUCCGUAUGAAAGCAUCCUCAUAGCUGUUGUGCACUUUUGGAGUGAGGUGAAUCCAAGUGUGCCGGUGCAAUCCUUCUUGCACUUGAAGUAGCUGUCGAACUCCCUGAUGGACUUGACAAUCCUGAGGAAGAUCUUUCGGCUCAUCCGAUAACGGCGCCGAAAUACUUUGUCGCCGUGCAGUGGAGCGUCGGCGAAGUAGUCGGAGUAGAUCAAUCAAUUGCCUUCUAGUUGAUGCCGGUUUUUUGCCUUCAUCCGGCCCGGUGCCGAGCCACCUCGCCGAGGCUUUGCAUUGCUCGCGAGCAGGCUGGCCAGGGCGGCGAGGACCAUGAGAUGCUCUUCAUCUUGGGCGUCGGAUUCGGCUUCCUCCUCCAGCAGCGCCUCGAGCGCCUCCUCGUCGUCCGAGUCCAUCGCCGAGCAAACAAAUCGCCAAACACCUGGCGGGCGUGGUAGACGCAGCCGCCAGUAUCCCACCCUGCGCGGCCGGAGCGCCGGAAAGCUCGCCCAGGGACGGGGUGGAGGAUGCCGCGGCGGGACCCUCUCUCUUUNNNNNNNNNNNNNNNNNNNNNNNNNNNNNNNNNNNNNNNNNNNNNNNNNNNNNNNNNNNNNNNNNNNNNNNNNNNNNNNNNNNNNNNNNNNNNNNNNNNNNNNNNNNNNNNNNNNNNNNNNNNNNNNNNNNNNNNNNNNNNNNNNNNNNNNNNNNNNNNNNNNNNNNNNNNNNNNNNNNNNNNNNNNNNNNNNNNNNNNNNNNNNNNNNNNNNNNNNNNNNNNNNNNNNNNNNNNNNNNNNNNNNNNNNNNNNNNNNNNNNNNNNNNNNNNNNNNNNNNNNNNNNNNNAAGAUGCGUUUUCGCCUGACAGUGGUGGCCGAAACGUGUUUUCCCUUCCGCCGGAGCCCCGCGGACGCCCCGAGUGCGCUGGGUUCGGCCUGGGAUCGCCGGGUGCGACUGGGUGAGCCGGCGGAUUUCGGCGUGUUGGGGUGCGACUGGGUGAUUUUUUCGGCGCUGGCGCUAAAAAAGUUGCCUGGGGGGUCUGUUGAGGACGCGAGUGGAGAUGCUUUAACCCAUCUCCCGAGAGUGAGGCGCCGGCGUGAGGACCUUGGCAACAACGCCGGCGUGAGGACCUGGAAGUGACGACGGCAACGCGAGGUCUAGGACGCGAAGCCCAGGCUGGGCUUGGUCGUAGUCGCCACUCCCCACGGCCACGCCGCCACCGCCGUGAGGUCCUGGAGGGGACGACGGCGCGAGGUCCUGGAGGCUCCGGCUUCCGGCUGCGUUUGGUCGUAGUGGUGGACCAGGGGUGCAAGGUAUCUCUUCCCCUGCGUUCAUCUCUUCCUUCCGUCUCUCCCUCCUUGCACCUUCUGCCGGCGGUGGAGCAACUGCUCAUUGCAGCACCUUCAAAUAAAGAUUCAGUAGCAGUUAGGGUUGGACAAACACUGGCCUCUGAAUUGCCUAUUGUUGAUUACAAAAUGUUGGUAACAUAGUAUCAUUUUGUCCAUCAGAAUUAGAAUGGCAUAGCCCUAGCAGAUAGUCACUACGGCGAAGUGUCCAUGCCAACAGUGCUAUAAAAGAGUCAAUCAUUAUGCUACUCUGUAAAUUUGUACAAGAAACCAUGUGUUCUUUAAUUAAAAUAUACAUCUAUCUUGUCCAUCAGGCUGCACAAUGUUGGUAAAGUAUCACAGCUUGAAAAAGCUUUUCUGGUGUGUGGUGCAUGCAAUUUGCCAUCAAGAUUAGGCUAGAAGUGCUAUUCAGACACAAUGUAGCAGCAAGAAAUAGGAAAAAUCAGAGCAUGUCUUCCUGACUAAGAAAAAGAAAACGAAAAAAGGAGCCAGGAAAUUUAGAAAAAAAUGUGCGAGUUACCAGCAUACCUCAUUACUUUCAAGUAGUCUGCUGGGGUACAACUGCAGAUAUACUGCACGUAGAUAACAAUGUUUUAUGUAAAUUUCGCCUGAUUUGUCUUGUGUAGUUGCAAUACUUCUGUUGUUUGUACACUUCCUAAAACAUGAGCUCCCCAAUCGCUCACAGCUGUUAGCUAGUGAGAAACAAUUUUUGAAACUUUGUAAGGAAAUUCAUCUCAGGCGAGGGGGUAUCAUACUCCCUUUGUACUAAACUUGAGACACUUAUUUUGGGACGGAGGGGGUAUUAUUUAACCUCCAUCAUUACACUAACAUAGCCAGAAAAGUUGGCAGCCUAAAAUUUACUAAAACUUAGGAUAAAUCUGCUGUUCCGGCCAUGGUUUUACAUAAACAGCGAGGAAAGCAGGCUUACAAAAUCAACAAACGAACCAGCAGUACAUGCACAAACCUCUUCGGUGACAGCCGGAACCCUAUCGGAUCGACGAGCCGGAGAAGAAGCGGACAGAGUGGAGGAGGACCCGGGCACGCCGGGCGAGAUGCCCCGCGGGCAAGCAGAACUGCAGAAGGACUUGCCGGAGUGAGCCCUCUGAAGAGGUUGGCCCCCUUUUCUAGCGCCCGCGCGAAGGCUAUCGCAGUGGCUGCGACGGCGGAGAGCGGCCGGAUCCAUGAGCGGGAGAGGAUGGGGAGGGAGCGAAGGAGGACCAGGGUCGCGCGCUAGAGGNNNNNNNNNNNNNNNNNNNNNNNNNNNNNNNNNNNNNNNNNNNNNNNNNNNNNNNNNNNNNNNNNNNNNNNNNNNNNNNNNNNNNNNNNNNNNNNNNNNNNNNNNNNNNNNNNNNNNNNNNNNNNNNNNNNNNNNNNNNNNNNNNNNNNNNNNNNNNNNNNNNNNNNNNNNNNNNNNNNNNNNNNNNNNNNNNNNNNNNNNNNNNNNNNNNNNNNNNNNNNNNNNNNNNNNNNNNNNNNNNNNNNNNNNNNNNNNNNNNNNNNNNNNNNNNNNNNNNNNNNNNNNNNNNNNNNNNNNNNNNNNNNNNNNNNNNNNNNNNNAGCGUAGGACAUGAGGAGAAAAGAUGAGAAGCUAAAGAUUUGGGGAGAGUGUGAGACAAGGGUUGAUUCUGACCAUGGUGAAAAUAAAGUAUCUACCAUUUUCAAAACAUAAAAAUAGAAUAUUACACCGACUGGCCCACCUAAUUUUCGUACCGGUCCCGCACGUAAUUGUACUUUUCAGUAAUUACAGUCUCGCAACUCCAUUUUUUCCUUCGUCGGAUUGAGGUGGAUGGACAGCUCCUGACGACGGCGACGGCAAACUCCACUACAAUAUUCGGAUGAAGUACCGACGCCCUCACACGACAGCGAAGACAUGUCCCAUAGGAAGCUAUAGGCUGUAGCCGAUGGAUUAGUGUCAGCUUGUAUGAGUAAACUGUAUCUGUAUUUACAGCUAAUGGAAUGGUAGAGUGUGUGAUGCUUUCACCUGUUUCUGUUCAUUUCUCAAUGGUUUGGAAAUCUUAAGGAAUUUUAUUGUAUUCAUGGUUUGAUACUAUCCCCUCGUCAUUUUUUCGUAGGUAACCACAAGAUUCUUUUUGUCUGUGUAGCGGAUGCAUUGCCAUGAUAGAUUUGUGCCGCAUGGCUGACAACCGAUACCAGCUUAUAACACUUCUACCUCAAUUCUCUCAAUGUGCCAUCUUGUUCAUUUUGCGUAUGAAUAUAUACAGUUGUGCAAAAACUUAGUUUCUUACCGUUUGAUUCUUAAAGUCUGAAACAUCGUUGCAUUCAUAUAUUCAGAUACUAUGGCAACUGCAGUUCUUUACAGGAUACUGGUAACUGCAUUGUGUUGUGUUAUGUCUAAUUCAGGCAUGAGAAUAAACAUUGCAACUGCAAGCAUUCUCAUCAUCUAAACUUCUGAAUUUCAGCAACAUACUUGACCAUCCAGGUUGUCAUAAAGCGUUUAUUGAGAUGCCUGACAUACUGCCACUAACCCACUACACAUCACAUCCUUACAUACAAAUCACAAUUUUAAUCAUGUUUCCAUAGUUGGUAGAAAAACCUGAAGUACAUAAAGGCUUCCUGAUACAAAAAGUUGUCCAAGCAAAGAAUGAUUGUAUCUAUGUUAUCAUGUACACUUUGAUGUACUGAAUUCAUGUAAUGGAUGAGAAUUUGUGUUAUGUCAAAUUAAAUUUGGCUUGAUUUCUGACAAGUUUGAUGCAUGUCAAAUUUCUGAACAUAUUUAAUCAUGAUUAAAUUUCUGGUUUCUCGAUAACUUGUAAUGCUGUGUAGUGGCAAUACAUGCAUGUUUGUUGCCUCUUUAUUUUUGGUCAGACCUUCAUCAUCCAGGAGCACACAAUAAAGUUUGUAGAUGUUUAGGAAACUUAUGAUAGUGACUUUUGCUUAUACCUUUGAUCUCAAAACUGGACAUAGCCAUCCCAGGCCACUUAUGCAGUUCAAAAGCUUUAUAGAAUAAUAUAUGUUUUGACCACAUGACUGAGAAAGUCACUUAUUUUUCCAACCCAUAAACUGAAUUAGUAACUGAAUUUUUUGAUAACAGCAAAGCGGAUACUUCUUGCCAAAUGCCAAGCCAUUGUCAUUGUCAUUCAUUGUACUACAAUAUUGAUACACUCUGCAGAUAUGAGCAUUCGCACUAGUAGUGUGCGUGUCACUUGGCUGAAUACGGAAGGACGAUAUUUGCACUUGUACAUCUGCUACAACCUACAUCUUUCUCUAGACAAGAGGCUACAACUGAAUCAUUGCCAACGACGAAGGCCAUCCAGGGGGGAUGGCGCCUCCUCUGAGACGCUUCGUCACUACCGCAGAGCGUCAUGGCUUCGCCGCCAAGACGAUCAUCGGGUACCCAUUGUCGCGGCUACUUGUAGGACUUCCAGGGAAUCUUCCAGUCCAUGGUUGGCUGGUUGCUGUCGUAGGAGCCCUCCGGGGUUGGGAUUUGAUUCGGGAGCCGAUGCGACUGAUUUGGCAAGGACGAUCUGGGGAAGGACGCACGACUCGAGGCCUUGGGUUGGGAUCUUGGAUCACAAGCUUUAGGGGGGUAAAUAUUUACAAAGAGGGCAGGUAAAUGUAAAUAUUUGCUUGAUUACACGUGAGACAUUGGAUUUAAAUCGUGGGGCUGAAAACGAAGAGAUACGCGGAUAGACGACACAUCUCGGAUUCACAGGAUAUGUUGCAUAUAUGUAGACAAACACUAGUAGGUAGGUAUAGAUAUAGAUAGAUAUAACGAUAAAGGUAAAGAUAGGCACAAUCACUGUAUGGCUGAUUUCCUGUGGGGCGUUUGUGCCUGCCUGGACGUGGCAUAUGCCCAUGGAAAACCAAUGCAUACAUUGAACGUUGAAUAACUAUUAAAUUGAAUGAUUAGCUUCAUGCACGCAACUUAACUUAUUGAGUAAUUGUUUAAUCUUGCAGUCACGACUUCAACGUGAGUUUAGUAGUCAUGUACAAAAAAGGGACAUUUUUUCGACCUGAUGAUAUUGGAUAUUAGGUAGGAUUUUUCAUGGCUUGAUGCAGCCGUGGGCACUACCAAUAUAUAUAACGGGUGUUGGAGGACUACAACAAAACCGACAUUGAAUAUGGUUUCUUUGUUAAACAUGGCUUUGUUAUUAACAAAUAAAUGAUCCAUCGUCAUCACAAGGUCCCCAUGUUUGGCCACCGUUUCUGCGUGCGGCUGCAAAAUAAGAGGACGUAGGACAUUUCUAGAAGUUCUUGAUGGCAGCCGUGUCCACUGCCAAUAUAUAAAAUAGGUGUUGAAGGACUACAACAAAACCAACAUUGACUGUGGUUUUCUUGUGAAACACGCCUCUAUUAUUAACAAUAAACGAUCCAUUGCCAUCACAAGGUUCACAAGGUCACCGUGUUUGGCCAUCGUUUCUUCGUGCGCCUGCAAAAUCAGAGGAUGUGGGACAUCUAUUUUCUACAUGAUGAUAUUGGACAUUAGGUAGGACUUUUGAUGGGUUGAUGCACAAAUUCUUGAUGACAGCCGUGGCCACUACCAAUAUAGAAAAUAAGUGCCGGAGGACUACAACAAAACCAACAUCAACUGCGCUUUUCUUGUUAAACAAGACUGUAAUUAACAAUAAACGAUCCAUUGUCAUCAUAAGGUCACCAUGUUUGGCCACCAUUUCUUCGUGCGCCUGCAAAAUCAGAGCCUAUAAGACAUUUUUAGAACUUCUUGUCGGCAGCCGUGGCCACUACCAAUAUAUAAAACUGGUGCUAGAGGACUACAACAAAACAAAUAUUGACUGUGGUUUUCUUGUUAAACACGGCUCUGUUAUUAACAACAAAUGAUCCAUCGCCAUCACAAGGUCACCAUGCUUGGCCACCGUUUCUGCGUGUGCCUGCAAAAUUAGAGGCUGUAUGACAUUUUUUUUCUACAUGAUGAUAUUGGACAUUAGGUAGGAAUUUUGAUGGGCUGAUACACAAGUUCUUGACGGCAGCCAUGGCCACUACAAAUAUAUAAAACAUGUGCUGGAGGACUACAACAAAACCAAUAUUGAUUGUGAUUUUCUUAUUAAACACAUAUCUCUUAUUAACAAUAAACGAUCCAUCGCCAUCACAAGGUCACCAUCUUUGGCCAUAGUUUCUUCGAGCACCUGCAAAAUCAGAGGCUAUUGGGCAUUUUUAGAAUUUCUUGUCGGCAGUCGUGGCCACUGCCAAUAUAUAAAACUAGUGCUGGAGGACUACAACAAAACCAACAUUGACUGUGUUUUUCUUGUUACACAACUAUGUUAUUAACAAUAAACGACCCAUCACCAUCACAAGGUCACUAUGUUUGGCCACCGUUUCUACGUGCACCUGCAAAAUCGGACGCUAUAGGAUUUCUUUUUGCUACAUGAUGAUAUUGGACAUUAGGUAGGACUUUGAUGGGUUGAUGCACAAGUUCUUGAUGGCAGCAGUGGCCACCACCAAUAUAUAAAACAGGUGCUGGGGUACUACAACAAAACAAACAUCGACUGUGGUUUUCAUGUUAAACAGGGCUCUGUUAUUAAAAAUAAACGAUCCAUCGCCAUCACAUGGUCGCCAUUUUUUGCCACCGUUUCAUGUGCACCUGCAAAAUCAAAGGUUAUAGGACAUUUUUUCGACGUGAUGAUAUUAGACAUUAGGGAUUUUGAUGGGUUGAUGUAGAAAUUCUUGAUGGCAGCGGUGGCCACUACCAAUCAAAGAGGUGCCGGAGGACUAUAAAAAUUCAUCAUUGCCAAUGGUUUCCUUGUUAAACACAUCUCUAUUAUUAAUGGUAAAUGAUCCAUCAUCAUCACAAGGUCACCAUGUUUGGCCAUCGUUUCUACGCGUGCCUACAUAAUCAGAUGUUGUCAGACAUUUUUUUUCUAUAACAUGAUAUUAGAAAUUAGGACUUUUGAUGGGUUGAUGCAUGAAUUCUUAUCGGCAGGCGUGGCCACUACCAAUAAAAGAGGUGCAAGAAGACUACAACAAAAUCAACAUUACCAGUGGUUUCCUUGUUAAACACGGCUCUGUUAUUAACAAUAAACGAUCCAUCGCCAUCACAAGGUCACCAUGUUUGGCCACCGUUUCUGUGUGUGCCUGCAAAAUCAGAUGCUAUAGUACUUCUUUUUCUACAAGAUGAUAUUAGACAUUAGGACUUUUGAUGGUUUAAUGCAGAAAUUCUUGACGGAAUCCUUGGCUACUACCAAUAAAACUGGUGCUGGAGGACAACAACAAAAUCAACAUUGCUAGUGGUUUCAUUGUUAAACUCGGCUCUGUUAUUAACAAUAAAUGAUCCAUUGCCAUCACAUGUUCACCAUUUUUGGCUAUUAUUUUAGCGUGCGCCUGCAAAAUCAGAUGUUGUAGGACAUUUUUCUCUAGCUGAUGACAUUGAAUAUUAGGACUUCUGAUGGGUUGAUUUAGAAAUUCUUGAAGGUAGCCAUUGUUGGAAAUAUGCCCUAGAGGCAAUAAUAAAAUGGUUAUUAUAUUUCCUUGUUCAUGAUACACUAUUAGAGAAAAGUUCACCAGUAGUGCUAGUUUUUGUGCUACCAGUAGCGCGGGCACCAGCGCUACUGCUACGUCGCUACAACUAUUUUGUAGCAGUAGCGCGUUUUUAGGCCAGCGCUACUGGUAAGUUCAAGUACUAGUAACGCGUUUUUAGCCAGUGCUAUUGCUAACAUUGAUGUUUUUUUAGCAUUUUGGCGAUGUACAUGUUUAAACAGAUAUAUCUUUUAUACAAUAACAACUCAUCAUGAACUAGUCUGUUUAAAUAGCAUCUUCAUUACCACUUGUCAUCACCACCAAACAAUGUUCGUCAAUGAGACAUCAUAUAACAAGUUGGUCACUAGUCAUAAUCAUAACCCCUCCUCAUCAUCAUCAACUCUAACACAUUGUAGCACAUAAAUACACAUUCUAGCUACGACCUACUCCUCUCAUAGGACCUACUCUACCCUCUCUUAGGUAAAAUAUCAUAAAACAAGAUAGACAUUGACUCUCCAUUAAGAAAAAAUGACUCUCCAUAAUAAAGAACGGAGAUCAUCCUGUCUCCAAGUCUUGGCCUAAGCACAAUGUUGCUUCCAAGUAGCUCUCUACGAUGGUUCAAACAUUUUUUGAAAUCAUUUAUUAUCAUGGCUUCCUCGCUCAUAGAAAUCCGGUAUGGACAUGAGUGAUGUGGAUACUGCGGCUGACCUGGCCGUGGUGGCCGUAAGCUCAUAACAUUAACGCGACCUCUCGGCAACAUCAGAUGAGGCACACAAUCCAUCGGGAUUUUCUGUUAAAAAACAUAGUAAUAACUUUGUAGUUAGCAAUGUAGUUUAGUUUUAGAAGAAUUUAUGCAAAAGACGCACGGAUGUCGUAAUAGUAGAAAAUCUUACCAUGAUAUCUCCAUUGAUGUUACCGUAGUUCAACACGUGCACUAGUGGCACGUAUUGACUAUAAUGUGGAGGAGUUUGAUAAUAGCUAUUGUAAUUCUCAAGAUUAGUAAAAAAUGUGAUAAGACCAUCUUGCUCCUUAUAAGUUAAUUGUGCUUCAUCAUUGUAGUAGUAGGUUCUGUCUACCAUUUUCCGUACAUUUUUUGAAGAAUGAAAAUAAGCUGUCAAAUAUUUUGAAAUAAACAAUAUAAAUUACUUAGUAAAUAUGUUUAAGAAACUCACACAGCGGUAGAACUGGAAGCGUGUCAACAAGGACCCAAAUGGUCAUAUCAUUUUCGUCGAUGUCAUGAUCACCAAGAUCGAAGGUGAGAAGCAUACCCUCAUGAAAAUCAUACGCCUUGCAAAGGGCUUCCCAAUUCAGGCAACCAAAAUUGGAUGAGUUCACAAAAUUGUAUAGAUUUACAGCAAAAUCAUAACCAUGAUGGGUCCUUAGUUGAAUUAUCUUUGUCUCCAUUCUUUCAUGAUCUUCAAAAUCCAUCUUCUGCAAGACAUAGCGUAUUGCAUGGCAUGGGAUAAGCUAGUCGAAUUGUAAAAGACGGAAAUUACACGUUGAAGAAGCAGAGAAGUCGUGCAAAAAAUAACAAAAAACACUUGUCGUCGCUGCAUACCGUUUCAACAUCGAAGGUCUCUUGGAGCUUGAUGCUGAAGCGCCGACCUUCUACCAGGUGAGGCCUGUCGCACAGACCGCGCUCAUCUUCGCAGUACUCGCACAUAGCGAAUUCCCUUUCAUCGUCAGACAUUUCCUAAUAGGUAAUUAAUAAUCCAUCAUCGAAUACAUAUAUAGUAGUUUGUAGCAAAGAUCAUCAUAUAACAACUAAAACACCUAAAAUUUAUAGUUUGUAGUAGUUUGUAGCAAAGAUCAUCAUAUAAUCCAUCAUGAAUACAUAUAUAGUAGUUUGUAGCACAAACCGCGCUCAUCUUUUGCAUUCAAUAAGCAAAUAACUAAUAGGUAAUUAAUAAUCCAUCAUCGAAUACAUAUAUAGUAGUUUGUAGCAAAGAUCAUCAUAUAAUAUCACUAAUACAUCUCGAAUAAUAGCUCCCCUAGGUUCAGUGGGCCGCGGUGGACACCCAAAGAGAAGGAACCAUCACCGGAUCAUAGCUCCGGUGAGAUGCCCAAAGAAUCUGCCAGGUAUUGGAGAACCGGCCAUUCGCUAACGCAACCAAGUAGCGCUGGACGUGCGCGUUCUCCUCCAUGACACGGUGCUGUACCACCUGCGCGGGGGACUCAAGCCUCUCCACCGAUGCAGGCCCACGUGACCACCACCAAAGAAGCUUCGGGUCGACGACGGGCUGGCUCCUCACUAAGGUGCGCUCACCAGAAGGUAGCACAACCCAGUACCAGCCCGGCGGAGCCCAGUCCCGGACAUGGCCCCUCGGCUCAACCAGGAGUCCUCCGCCGAGUCGACGACGAGGAUGCGGGAUAGGCAUCGUCGACGUCGAGAACAAAAUGCUUAAUUAUGAAAACAAAAUUAAUAAACACUUAGCAAAAUUUGGCAUGACCUUUGCUAAAAACAGGACAUAUCGAGCGCCUAAAAUUUGCCAGAACGUAAACGAAUCAACAUUUCUGGCAAAACAUAGGCCACUCGGAAAAAUAUGACAUGUCCAAAAUGUGACAUGUUCAAAAUAUGACAUGUCCACUGCAAAUUUGCAUAUAACAGGAAAAUUGCUUUAACUAAAAAAAAUAACAACAAUUGCUUUAACUAAAAAAAUACCUAGAAUUCUGUUAACUACACCUAAAACAACUAAAACACCUAAACUUCUUUUAACUACACAUAAAACAACUAAAACACCUAAAACUCUUUUAAAUACACUUAAAACACCUAAAUUCUAUUAACUACAUCUAAUUAAAAACCUAGCUAAAUUUUUGUCCUAACUUUAAAACCAGGUAAAUUUAAAAACCUAGGGUUCAUACGAAAUAACUAGGGUUCAUACCUAAUCUGUCCUAGCUAGGGUUCGAUCGUAACCGACAUUAUUCUGAUAACCUACAUUUUUUCAACUACAUAGCAUUCAAAAUAACUACUCUAAUAACUAUAACUAGGGAAGGAGGGAGGAGGAGGAAGGAAGGAGGAGUACCUCUCGGUGGAUGAGGGCCGGCGCGGGAGGAGAGCCGGCGUGGGGGCCGGGGCGGAGAAGGAGGCCGACGCGGGGGAGCUGGGUGGCCGGCGGGGAGGAGGGCCGACGCGGGCGAGGGCGGCCGACGCAGGGAGGAGGGCCGGCGCGGGGGACGGUAGCGUGCGGGGGUCGACGGCGGCGCGCGGGGGAUCUAGGGAGGAGUGUGGAGUGUGAGUGAGAGUGAUGAGGCCGGGCCGGGGGCGCGCGGGGGGAGGUAGUGGGCUUAACAUCAGCGCGGGGAAUGGGCCGACGCUACUGCUAAGCCCACUAGCUGUAGUGCUGGUUGGGCGACAAGCGUUGCUAAUAUUUAUUGAUCAAAUAUUGUGGUGUGUUACACUUAGCAGUAGCGUUGGUUUAGAUGACAAGCGCUGCUGCUAACUGAUACCAGUAGCGCUCUUUCUAGCCAGCGCUACUACUAACUACUAGUAGCGUGGGGUCAUAAACAAACGCUACUGGUAAACUUCUAUCUAUAAGCGUUUUCCUAGUAGUGAUAAUUGUCUAUUGUUCAUGCUAUAAUUGUAUUAAUCGGAAACCGUAAUACAUGUGUGAAUACAUAGAUCACAACAUGUUCCUAGUGAGCCUCUAGUUGACUAGCUCGUUGAUCAAUAGAUGGUUAUGGUUUCCUAACCAUGGACAUUGGAUGUCGUUGAUAACAGGAUCACAUCAUUAGGAGAAUGAUGUGAUGUACAAGACCCAAUCCUAAGCAUAGCACAAGAUCAUGUAGUUCGUUUGCUAGAGCUUUUCUAAUGUGAAGUAUCAUUUCCUUAGACCAUGAGAUUGUGCAACUCCCGGAUGCCGUAGGAAUGCUUUGGGUGUAUGAAACGUCACAACGUAACUGGGUGACUAUAAAGGUGCACUACAGGUAUCUCCGAAAGUGUCUGUUGGGUUGGUAUGAAUCGAGACUGGGAUUUGUCACUCCGUAUGACGGAGAGGUAUCUCUGGGCCCACUCGGUAAUGCAUCCGUAAUGAGCUCAAUGUGACUAAGGAGUUAGCCACGUGAUCAUGUGUUACGAAACGAGUAAAGAUACUUGCCGGUAACGAGAUUGAACAAGGUAUGGGGAUACCGACGAUCGAAUCUCGGGAAAGUAACAUACCGAUGGACAAAGGGAAUUGUAUACGGGAUUGAUUGAAUCCCUGACAUCGUGGUUCAUCCGAUUAGAGAUCAUUGUGGAACAUGUGGGAGCCAAUAUGGGUAUCUAGAUCCUGCUAUUGGUUAUUGGCCAGAGAGGUGUCUCGGUCAUGUUUGCAUGGUUCCUGAACCCGUAGGGUCUACACACUUAAGGUUCGGUGACGCUAGAGUUGUAACGGGAAAUUGUAUGUGGUUACAGAAGGUUGUUUGGAGUCCCAGAUGAGAUCCUGGACGUCACGAGGAGUUCCAGAGGUAAAGAUUUAUAUAUGGGCAGUCUAGUUUCAGCCGCCGGAAGAGUUUCGGGGGUCAUCAGUAUUGUACCGGGACCACCAAAAGGGUUCCGGGGUCCAUCGGGUGGGGCCACCUGCCCCGGAGGGCCUAGUGGGCUGAAUAUGGGUGGGGACCAGUCCCUUAGUGGGCUGGUACACCCCCAAGGGCCCAAUGCGCCUAGGGUUGGAAACCCUAGGGGAUGGGGGCGCCUCCCACCUGCUUAGGGGGCAAGUCCCCCCUCCUGGCCGCCGCCCCCUCUAGAUGCAUCUAAGGGGGCCGGCCCCCUCUCCCCUUCACCCUUUAAUUAGAGGGGGGGGGGAGGGCAGCCGCACCCUUCCCCUGGCGCAGCCCUCCCCCCUCCUAGUGUUGGGUUAUGUAGUAUUUUUAAAAAAAUCCUACGAUCACGCAAGAUCUAUCUAGGAGAAGCAUAGCAACGAGCGAGGAGAGUGUGUCCACGUACCCUCGUAGACCGAAAGCGGAAGCGUUUAGUAACGCGGUUGAUGUAGUCGAACGUCUUCGCGAUCCAACCGAUCCAAGUACCGAACGCACGGCACCUCCGCGAUCUGCACACGUUCAGCUCGGUGACGUCCCUCGAACUCUUGAUCUAGUUGAGGCCGAGGGAGAGUUUCGUUAGCACGACGGCGUGGUGACGGUGAUGAUGAAGUUACCGGCAUAGGGCUUCGCCUAAGCACUAUGACGAUAUGACCGAGGUGUAAAACUGUGGAGGGGGCACCGCACACGGCUAAAGAUCAACUUGUGUGUCUAUGGGGUGCCCCCUCCCCCGUAUAUAAAGGAGGGAAGGAGGAGGCCGGCCGCCCCCUAGAGGCGCGCCCCAAGGAGUGGAGUCCUACUAGGACUCCAAGUCCUAGUAGGAUUCCACUUGCUGGAAGGGGGGAAGACGGAAGGAGAGGGAACGAGGGGUCGUGCCCCCUUCCCCUAGUCCUACUCAGACUCCCCUUGGGGGGGGGGGGGCGCCACCUCCUGGCUGCUGCCCUCUCACUCCCCUAAGGCCCACUAAGGCCCAUUACUUCCCCGGAGGGUUCUGGUAACCCCUCCGGCACUCCGGUUUUAUCCGAAACUAUCCGGAACACUUCCGGUGUCCGAAUAACAUGGUCCAAUAUAUCAAUCUUUAUGUCUCGCCCAUUUCGAGACUCCUUGUCAUGUCCAUGAUCUCAUCCGGGACUCCAAACAACCUUCGGUACAUCAAAUCACAUAACUCAUAAUACAAAUCGUCAUCAAACGUUAAGCGUGCAGACCCUACAGUUUCGAGAACUAUGUCACUACAAAAAAUAGACACAUCCGUGACAUUUUGGGCCGAACGGAAAUUUUUUCUGUCAUACAUAUGACACUUCUAUGAUGAUAAUUGUGACAAAACCCGGUAUCAUCAUAGAUGUGGUGGGCUCCUACUUCUAUGACAAAAAAUCAUGACAGAAAAUGGGCUUUUCCUGGGCGGGCCGGAGACGCAGCUGCAUGACAUUCUUUGGGCCGUCCAUGACGGAAAAAACCAUGGUAGAAGCAAGGGCGAGGAAAAUUUUGAGGAGUUCCCGGUUACGGUGGGAGGUCGGGGGCUGAGCGAUGCGCGUUUCUCUCGUACACGUACGCGCGUGUGUGCGAGGCGUUGGCUCUAACUGAACCCGAGCGAGGCGUUGGGCUCUAACUGAACCCGAGCGAUUGCACCGCAGGCUACGCGUUACUGAACCCGAGCGAUCGAUCGGUGGCUGUUAACUGAACCCGGUCGAGCGAUUCCUUCGCUACUGCUGCUAACUGAAGCCGAUCGAUGCUGCCUCUGGAUGAACAGUGAGUGUUGCUGGGGGGUUUGGAUGAACAGUUCCCGGUGGGGGUGGAUGAACAGGACCCCGAUCGAUCGAGCCGGUUGGGGCUGGAUGAACAGGACCCCGUGGAGGGCAGGAUGAACAGGACCACCCCGUGGAGGGCAGGAUGAACAGUAGACGGUGGAGGGCUGGAUGAACAGUAGCCCGUGGAGGGGUGGUUGAACAGGAGCCCGUGGAGAGGGCUGGUUGAACAGUAGCCGGUGGAGUAGCACGUGGUGGAGGCUGGAUGAACAGGAGCCCGUGGAUGAACAGUCGCAGGUGGAGGCUGGAGGAGGUCGACAGUGGAUGAACAGUAGCCCGUGGAGGUUGGAGGGGGUCGACGGUGGAGAUGAACAGUAUCCCGUGGAGUCCCGUUUUGCGGUACGCCACACCCCUCCCGAUGAACAGGACCCCGUUUCGACCGUAGCGCUCCAACACAAGUCCGUUUCCUCCGUUUUGCGGUACGCCACACCCCUCCCGAUCAACAGGACCCCCGUUUCAACCGUAGGAGGUCUGUUUCCUCCGUUUUGCAGUACGACAGACCCCUCCCGAUGAACAGGAUCCCGUUUCAAACGUGGCCGGUCGAACACAAGGCCGUUUCCUCCGUUCUGCGGUACGCCAGGCCUCGUUUCCAUCGGCUGUUCCGUCCAAGCCCUCCCGAUGAACACGACGACGCAUUCCGUUCCGACCCAGCCGGUUGGCUCCCCAUGAACACGAUGACGACGCUGUUUCUCCGUUCGGACCCAGCCAUGUACACGAGCCCUGGCCGUACGUAUGCGCGAGUAGGCGUUCGAGACCCUGCCCGUAUGUACGUACGAGGCUGCCGUCGCCGCAGGGCCUGACCAGUGGUGGGAAUAGUAGGGGGCGGUGAGGCCUCCGCGGUAGCACAACCGGCCACGGGAGGCAGGAGCAUGCGGCACGACCGGCGCUGCUUUGGGCGGCUGGAGCAAGAAGACCAGAGGUUGAAGAAGCAUUACGGCCGUUGGAUGGACAUCAUACGAUCACUGGAGCUAGAAUUGUUCAUAUUGACUAAAGUUGACAAAGGCCCCCGUCCCAGUCAACUUAGUAGGCCCACAAGUCAGCCUCCCACCAUGGUGGGUCCCAGCUAGCAGGGGGAGUAUUCAUUUUUUGUGCGUAAUAAGGAGGCACUUCCUUGCGUGCGAAGAUAUAGCUGGUGGGUCCGAGCUGUCAGCGGUGGUAACGUUUUUUUUACGAAAUACAGAGGCCCUUUCGGUGGGUCCCUGAUGUCAGGUGGAUGAAUCAUUAUUUUGCGCGUAAUAAGGAGGCAUUUCCUUGCGUGCGGCCGUGGACCCAGCUGUCAGCCUCUCCACGUACAGUCCACUUCAGAUGCAUGUCGGUCGUUGACCAUGUUGACCAGGCCGCGCCGAGAGCACCAGGGCGGUGGACGACGGCGAGGCCUAGGAAGGGAACGACACGGAGGCAGGGAAGACUCGGCAGUUGUUUCCCAAGCGGAGGGGAGUACGACUGUACGAGGGUUUACUGGUUCGUCUACCGUCGCCUGAGAAUAACAGCAGGUGUGUGUGAGUAGAGGGAUGGCUAGGCCAGCGAUGGGAGUACGGUGGGGCGGUGAGGCCUGCGCGGCAGCAGAGCCGGCCACGGGGAGGAGGGAGCAGGAAGUCCCGCCGGCGCUUGUUUGAGCGGCUGGAGCAGGAAGAGCAGAGAUUGAAGAAGCACGACGGCCGUUGGAUGGACAUCCAACAGUGAGUGCUUGUGCGUCAACCUUUUUUUUUAGGAAAGCCUCAAAUAUGUGGAAAACAGCAUACAGCCCAUCUGCCAUUAUCUCUAAUAAUUUAUAGCCCAUUUGCUAAUUAUUAAGGUUUUUUUGGAGCCCAUAUUCUUUUUGUUAGCAUUACAGGCCAUAUUGUGGCCACGGUUAAAAAAUUAUACGAAAUUUUGCAUAUUUCGGUGCGGUCCGAACUGUUUUUAAUCCCGAAAUUUCGACUCACAUUCAAACUGAUUUUAAAAAUAAAUGUAUAUCAAUAUAAAAUCCAACAAAUUCUCCACGCAUAAAAAUUAAUGUAAUUUAAAAUCUCGAAAUGAAAAAAAAGAUAUUUGAAACUAAUUGCCGGUUUGAUGUGUUUUAAAAAUGUACAACCCAUUUCUCAUUACUGAUGGGCCAUUUUCUCGGCCAGCCGAAUGAAAGCUUUCCUCGUCUUGAAAGAUUUGCAGCCCAACAGGCCUGACAAAGCGACUUACUUGGCAAAUAACAAAAAAACUUGGCUGUGGCCGUCGACCCAGCUGUCAGCCUCUCCACGUACAGUACUCUUCCGAUGGAAUGUCGUUGACCACGUUGACCACGCCGCGCCGAGAGCACCAAGGCGGUGGACGACGGUGAGGCCUAGGAAGGGGACGACGCGGAGCCGGGGAAGACGCGGCAGUGGAUGCCCACGCGGAGAGGAGUACGAGGGCUCACUGGUUCGGCUGCGGUGUGAGGCUGCCGUCGCCGCAGGGCCUGGCUAGCGGUGGGAGUAGUAGGGGGCGAUGAGGCCUCAAUGGCAGCAUAGCCGGCCACUGGAGGCAGGAGCAGGCGGUCUCUCCGGCGCUGGUUUGGGUGGCUGGUGCAAGAAGAGCAGCGAUUGAAGAAGCAGCAGGACCGUUCGAUUCAAAUCCAACGGUUACUGCUGCUAGAAUCGUUUGUUGACUAAGUUGACAAGCCCUGCGUACGCGUCAACUUAGUAGGCCCACAGGUCAGCCUCCCAACCGGUGCGCCCCAGAUGUCAGUGGGAGGAAUCAUUUUUUUGCGUAAUAAGGAGGCAGUUGAUUGCGUGCGGCCAGGCCAGCGGAGGAGUAGGGUGGGCCGGGGAAGCCUGCGCGGCAUCACAGCGGGCCACAAGAGGAGGGAGCAGGCAGUCCCGCCGGCGCUAGUUUAGGCGGCUGGAGCAGGAAGAUCAGAGAUUGAAGAAGCACGUCGGCCGUUGGAUGGACAUCCAACAGUCAUUGCUGCUAGAAUCGUGUGUUCACUGACAAAGCCUUGCGUAAACAAGUCAGCCUCGAAAUCUAUGGCGUGUACAGCCCAUUUGUAUUAUGUUUAUAAUUUUUACUCAUUUUCUAAUUCAUAUGGAAUUUAUUGCAGCCCGUUUUCCAUUUUUAGAAUUGCUGGCCAUUUUCUGGUCAGUACCAGGGGUCAAAAAAUUAACUAAAUAUGUGGGAAAUUUUGAAAAUUCACAAAUUUUUGCUGGGGAGCGAAAUAUUCUUAAUCCAAAAAUUAAUAGCCAUACUAAAACAAAUUUAAAAAUAAAUUAGUACUAUGUCAUGUUAAAUCCAAUGAAAUACGUAUAAGAUAUCAGUGAAGAACAAAAACAAAAAAAGAAACUUAUAUCCCAUUUGCUAUAAUUUUUUUGGAAUUUUCAACCCCUUUUGAUAUUACUUUUAACAGACAUUGACCAUACUCUUAAGCCAGGACGGAAUGCAUCCCUCCUCGUCUUGAAAGAUUUGCAGCCCAGUAAUUCGGAGAAAACAAAUAGGCCUAGCUUGGGUAUUCUUCAAAAAGAAAUACUAGGCUACCUAUUUUCCCAAAGAACUGGUGCAUGAGCAUUUAGCUUUAUUUAUUUAUUUACUUACUUAUUUAUGUUUACGGGACCAUGAGCAUGUACCUGGGCCAGAUUCAUGUGAGAGCCUCCCUUCCAGUUAAUUAUGGGCUUCUCUAUUGGGCCUUCAUCAGUGGGCUGCAUGCUAUCAACAAGUGGAAAAUGUGUUCCGUACGAAAAAUAGUAUGCGCUACGUACGGUAUGGGGCACUAAAGGAUCGAACCGUGCAACGACUUUCAAAACAUUGUGUUUGUUGUUCUAACAACACAUUUAUUCAACCAACAGACGAAAUAUACUACUGAUUGUACAUUGAAAACAGCAGCAGCAACCAGGGCUGGGGGUGCAACAGAAGCAGUAAGCAGGCCAGAAGAGUGAAGACGCAGCUCUUUCUUCCAAACCAAACAUCAGCCAUCAUUACAAAAGGGCUACCAAAAAAGAACAAGUGUAUGCAUCAAACUAAAUAAAGAUCCUACUACACCAAGUGUACGCAUCUAACUAACUGGCUCAGUUAGACGUUACUAUUUAUUAAGCUGUGGACAUUGGCUGGCGGCUUGAACCAGAUGGGUGCCUGACGGGGGAAACUCCAGCCAGCAGGUCGAAGUCUGAUACUUGCGACCCUCUCUCCUACUUUGGGCUGCAGAGCGUGGGGGCACAUAUCAGGGUAUGGUGCAUGCAGAGACGCAUGGUACGCUGUGUACACACAGUUUUGCCUAAUGAACGAAACCGCGCUGCCAUCAUGAUCCUUGCCGUUGGUUAUCUCCUGGUUAAUCGGAUAAUUCAGUCCGACAAACAGAGAGCGUGUACCAAGGCUACUUACCAGCCUCCAGUCAAAAAUUCCUGAAGGCCCAGAGAAGCUGGGAUCCUGCUCAAAGACCUUGCAGUGACUGUGAUUGUAUUCUGCGAGAUAACACGUCUGGUACGUGCGAACGAUCAUCAAUCUUUCGCCGUCGUGAACCACCUGCAACUGCCAUGCCGCUUUUCUUUGAAAGGUUCUGGGAUUAGGAAGGGUAGGGACACCAGGCGGCCUACAACAUCAUAUCAAGUUGGAGUCAAAUAAAAAAGGGCUCUUGAUUUAGUCAAUCUCAAGAACAACAUGUUAUGAGCAUGAAUUUUUUUCCAGCAAAUGUUGACAGUAAUAUAAGCAAGCCAUCAUGAUAUCAUAGGAAAGUAACAUACUGCUGUAACAACCGUUUGUAGCGAUGACUGGAGUAGGCCAGCAAUACGUCCAGCCAUAGAAGGAGUCGACAGCGUAAAUGAAGCCCUUGUGUUCAAUGGCAUCAGAGAACCAUGGAGGAUGUAUGAUCCUGCGAUGGACGUGCAGAUUUAUCCAUGUACCGCAGUGACCUGUCAGAUAGGCGAGACCGCGGUUGAAGAACGCAAUUAGCCUGAAGUCUUUAUAAUUCGCAGAUCUUGUGGGUGUUGGGGAUCGUAGCAGAAAUUAAAAUUUUCUAUGCAUCACCAAGAUCAAUCUAUGGAGUUUACUAGCAACGAGAGGGGAGGAGUGCAUCUACAUACCCUUGUAGAUCGCGAGCGGAAGCGUUCAAGAGAACGGGGUUGAAGGAGUCGUACUCGUCGUGAUCCAAAUCACCGAUGAUCCAAGCGCCGAACGGACGGCACCUCCGCGUUCAACACAUGUACGGAGCGGUGACGUCUCCCACGCCUUGAUCCAGCAAGGAGGAGGGAGAGGUUGAGGAAGAAGGCUCCAACAGCAGCACGACGACGUGGUGGUGGUGGAGUGACAGUUCUCCGGUAGGGCUUCGCCAAGCACACGCGGAGGAGGAGAGGUGUUGGGGAGGGGAGGGGCUGCGCCUUGGAUGUGGUGCUGCAGCCCUCCCCUCACCCCUCUAUUUAUAGGGAGAAGGGGGAAGGGGGCCGGCCCCUCUAGAUGAGAUCUAGAGGGGGGGCGACGGCCAAGGGGGGAGGGAGCUUGCCCCCCAAGCAAGGGGGUGCCCCCCCCUUUAGGGUUCCCCCCCAAACCCUAGGCGCAUCGGCCCUAGGGGGGUUGGCGCCCAGCCCACUGAGGGCUGGUUCCCUUCCACCUACAGCCCAUAAGGCCCUACGGGGCAGGUGGACCCUCCCGGUGGACCCCCGGAACCCCUCCGAUGGUCCCGGUACAAUACCGGUAUACCCCCGAAUAUUUCCGGUGACCGUAUGGUGACUUCCCAUAUAUAAAUCUUUACCUCCGGACCAUUCCAGAACUCCUCAUGACGUCCGGGAUCUCAUCCGGGACUCCGACCAACAUUCAGUAAUCACAUACAAACCUUCCUUAUAACCCUAGCGUCAUCGAACCUUAAGUGUGUAGACCCUACGGGUUCGGGAAUCAUGCAGACAUGACCGAGACACCUCUCUAGCCAAUAACCAACAACGGGAUCUGGAUACCCAUGUUGGCUCCCACAUGUUCCACGAUGAUCUCAUCAGAGGAACCACGAUGUCGAGGAAUCAAGCAAUCCCGUAUACAAUUCCCUUUGUCAAUCAGUACUUUACUUGCCCGAGAUUCGAUCGUCGGUAUUCCAAUACCUCGUUCAAUCUCGUUAUCGGCAAGUCACUUUACUCAUUCCGUAAUGCAUGAUCCUGUGACUAACUACUUAGUCACAUUGAGCUCAUUAUGAUGAUGCAAUACCGAGUGGGCCCAGAGAUACCUCUCCGUCAUACGGAGUGACAAAUCCCAGUCUCGAUCCGAGCCAACCCAACAGACACUUUCGGAGAUACCUGUAGUGCACCUUUAUAGCCAUCCAGUUACGUUGUGACGUUUGGUACACCCAAAGCAUUCCUACGGUAUCCGGGAGUUGCACGAUCUCAUGGUCUAAGGAAAUGGUACUUGACAUUAGAAAAGCUUUAGCAAACGAACUACACGAUCUAGUGCUAUGCUUAGGAUUGGGUCUUGUCCAUCACAUCAUUCUCCUAAUGAUGUGAUCCCGUUAUCAAUGACAUCCAAUGUCCAUGGUCAGGAAACCAUAACCAUCUAUUGAUCAACGAUCUAGUCAACUAGAGGCUCACUAGGGACAUGUUAUGGUCUAUGUAUUCACACAUGUAUUACGAUUUCCGGAUAACACAAUUAGAGCAUGAACAAUAGACAAUUAUCAUGAACAAGGAAAUAUAAUAAUAACCAUUUUAUUAUUGCCUCUAGGGCGUAUUUCCAACAGUCUCGCACUUGCACUAGAGUCAAUAAUCUAGUUACAUUGUGAUGAAUCGUACACCCAUAGAGUUCUGGUGUUGAUCAUGUUUCGCUCGUGGAAGAGGUUUAGUCAACGGAUCUGCGACAUUUAAAUCCGUAUGCACUUUACAAAUAUCUAUGUCUCCAUUUUGAACAUUUUCAUGAAUGGAGUUGAAGCGACACUUAAUGUGCCUGGUCUUCUUGUGAAACCUGGGCUCCUUGGCAAGGGCAAUAGCUCCAGUGUUGUCACAGAAGAGAGUCAUCGGCCCCGAUGCAUUGGGAAUAACUCCUAGGUCGGCAAUGAACUCCUUCAUCCAGAUUGCUUCAUGUGCUGCCUCCGAGGCUGCCAUGUACUCCGCUUCACAUGUAGAUCCUGCCACGACGGUUUGCUUGCAACUGCACCAGCUGACUGCCCCACCAUUCAAAAUAUACACAUAUCCGGUUUGUGACUUAGAGUCAUCCAGAUCUGUGUCGAAGCUAGCAUCGACGUAACCCUUUACGACGAGCUCUUCGUCACCUCCAUAAACGAGAAACAUAUCCUUAGUCCUUUUCAGGUACUUCAAGAUGUUCUUGACCGCUGUCCAAUGUUCCAUGCCGGGAUUACUUUGGUACCUUCCUACCAAACUUACGGCAAGGUUUACAUCAGGUCUGGUACACAGCAUGGCAUACAUAAUAGACCCUAUGGCCGAGGCAUAGGGGACGACACUCAUCUUUUCUCUAUCUUCUGCCGUGGUCGGGCAUUGAGCCGUGCUCAAUCUCACACCUUGCAAUACAGGCAAGAACCCCUUCUUGGACUGAUCCAUAUUGAACUUCUUCAAUAUCUUGUCAAGGUAUGUGCUUUGUGAAAGACCUAUGAGGCGUCUCGAUCUAUCUCUAUAGAUCUUGAUGCCUAAUAUGUAAGCAGCUUCUCCAAGGUCCUUCAUUGAAAAACACUUAUUCAAGUAGGCCUUUAUACUUUCCAAGAAUUCUAUAUCAUUUCCCAUCAAUAGUAUCUCAUCCACAUAUAAUAAGAGAAAUGCUACAGAGCUCCCACUCACUUUCUUGUAAACACGGGCUUCUCCAUAAGUCUGCGUAAACCCAAACGCUUUGAUCAUCUCAGCAAAGCGAAUGUUCCAACUCCGAGAUGCCUACACCAGCCCAUAGAUUGAGCGCUCGAGCUUGCAUACUUUGUCAGCAUUCUUAGGAUCGACAAAACCUUCCGGCUGCAUCAUAUACAAUUCUUCCUUAAGGAAGCCGUUAAGGAAUGCUGUUUUGACGUCCAUUUGCCAUAUUUCAUAAUCGUAGAAUGCGGCAAUUUCUAACAUGAUUCGGACGGACUUCAGCUUCGCUACGGGUGAGAAGGUCUCAUCAUAGUCAACUCCUUGAACUUGUCGAUAACCCUUAGCGACAAGUCGAGCUUUAUAGAUGGUAACAUUUCCAUCCGCGUCCGUCUUCUUCUUAAAGAUCCAUUUAUUUUCUAUCGCUCGCCGAUCAUCGGGCAAGUCUGUCAAAGUCCAUACUUUGUUUUCAUACAUGGAUCCUAUCUCGGAUUGCAUGGCUUCAAGCCAUUUGUUGGAAUCUAGACCCGCCAUUGCUUCUUCAUAGUUCGAAGGUUAACCAUUGUCCAACAACAUGAUUUCCAGGACAGGGUUGCCGUACCACUCUGGUGCGGAACGUGUCCUUGUGGACCUACGAGGUUCAGUGGUAACUUGAUCAUGAUCGUCAUCAUUAACUUCCUCUCUAGUCGGUGCAGGCACCACAGAAACAUUUUCUUGUGCUGCGCUACUUUCUGGUUCGAGAGGGGUCAUCUCAUGAAGUUCCACUUUCCUCCCACUUACUUCUUUCGAGAGAAACUCUUUCUCCAGAAAGGACCCGUUCUUGGCAACGAAGAUCUUGCCUUCGGAUUUGAGGUAGAAGGUAUACCCAAUGGUUUCCUUAGGGUAUCCUAUGAAGACGCAUUUUUCCGACUUGGGUUCGAGCUUUUCAGGUUGAAGUUUCUUGACAUAAGCAUCGCAUCCCCAAACUUUAAGAAACGACAGCUUAGGUUUCUUUCCAAACCAUAAUUUAUACGGUGUCGUCUCAACGUAUUUCGACGGAGCCCUAUUUAAAGUGAAUGCGGCAGUCUCUAAAGCAUAACCCCAAAAUGAUAGCGGUAUAUCGGUAAGAGACAUCAUAGAUCGCACCAUAUCCAAUAGAGUGCGAUUACGACGUUCGGACACACCAUUACGCUGAGGUGUUCCAGGCGGCGUGAGUUAUGAAACAAUUCCACAUUUCCUUAAGUGUGGGCCAAAUUCGUGACUCAAAUAUUCCCCUCCACGAUCUGAUUGUAAGAACUUUAUUUUCCUGUCACGUUGAUUCUCAACCUCACUCUGAAAUUCCUUGAACUUUUCAAAGGUCUCAGACUUGUGUUU
rnacentral:lncRNA from 1 species